rnacentral:rRNA from 1 species
UACGUAGGUGGCAAGCGUUGUCCGGAAUCACUGGGCGUAAAGGGCGCGUAGGCGGCCCGGUAAGUAGGGGGUGAAAUCCUGCGGCUUAACCGCAGGGCUGCCUUCUAAACUGUCGGGCUCGAGCACGGUAGAGGCAGAUGGAAUUCCCGGUGUAGCGGUGGAAUGCGUAGAUAUCUGGAGGAACACCGGUGGCGAAGGCGACAUCCUGGACCGGUAUUGACGCUGAGGCGCGAAAGCCAGGGGAGCAAACGGG